rnacentral:lncRNA from 1 species
GGGUAGGGUUGAGAUCAUAUUAAUUGUUCGCUCCAUCCUCUAGGUUACGUUGUUCACUCUCUUCUAUUUGUCGUGGAAGAGGAUGACUGUAGAAGACAUUCUGAUGCUCAAGUCAUUGACUUUGCGACGUAACGUAAUAAUAUUGUAAUAAAGAUUAAUAAUUAGAGUUAAUCAUCGGCCUAUUUCGUCAGACAUAUAUUUAUAAAUAUUAUAUUUAACUUACCAUCAGAUCCG